AGUGAACGCUGGCGGUAGGCCUAACACAUGCCAGUCGAACGGCAGCACAGUAAGAGCUUGCUCUUACGGGUGGCGAGUGGCGGACGGGUGAGGAAUACAUCGGAAUCUACUUUUUCGUGGGGGAUAACGUAGGGAAACUUACGCUAAUACCGCAUACGACCUACGGGUGAAAGCAGGGGAUCUUCGGACCUUGCGCGAUUGAAUGAGCCGAUGUCGGAUUAGCUAGUUGGCGGGGCAAAGGCCCACCAAGGCGACGAUCCGUAGCUGGUCUGAGAGGAUGAUCAGCCACACUGGAACUGAGACACGGUCCAGACUCCUACGGGAGGCAGCAGUGGGGAAUAUUGGACAAUGGGCGCAAGCCUGAUCCAGCCAUACCGCGUGGGUGAAGAAGGCCUUCGGGUUGUAAAGGCCUUUUGUUGGGAAAGAAAAGCAGCAGGUUAAUACCCCGCUGUUCUGACGGUACCCAAAGAAUAAGCACCGGCUAACUUCGUG
rnacentral:rRNA from 1 species